rnacentral:rRNA from 1 species
GACGAACGCUGGCGGCGUGCCUAAUACAUGCAAGUAGAACGCAGUUGCGAACGGGUGAGUAACGCGUAGGUAUCUGCCUCAUAUCGGGGGUUAAUUAUUUGAAACGAUAGCUAAUACCGCAUACUGUGAGAUGGACCUGCGUUGUAUUAGCUAGUUGGUGAGGUAAAGGCUCACCAAGGCGACGAUACAUAGCCGACCUGAGAGGGGGAUCGGCCACACUGGGACUGGUACACGGCCCAGACUCCUACGGAAGGCAGCCGUAGGGAAUCUUCGGCAAUGGACGGGAGUGUGAGCAAGAGACGCGGCGUGAGUGAGGAAGGUUUUCGGAGCGUAAAGCUCUGUAGUAAGAGAAAGGGUAACUAACCAGAAAGGGACGGCUAACUACGUGCCAGCAGCCGCGGUAAUUC